rnacentral:misc_RNA from 1 species
AAGCAUUCGAGAAAAUAUGAAGAAAUCGACCUCUAAAUGUGGAAGACUUUUGCUAUAUAAUUGAUAAUACGUACACCAAAGAAGAGUGAAUACAAUUUAGCUAUUCAAAGGAGAUAUGAAAUUGAACAUGAUGUCUUCAGUGAGAAUUGUAAUGUUUGCUUACCGUUACCUGAUCAAUGUUGCUGUUCAGUGGAUCAGAAGAAUU